UACAGAGGGUGCGAACGUUGCUCGGAGUUACUGGGCGUAAAGCGCGUGUAGGCGGGGUCGCAAGUCAGAUGUGAAAUCCCUGGGCUCAACCCAGGAACUGCACCUGAAACUGCGAUUCUUGAGUACUGGAGAGGGUGGCGGAAUUCCUGGUGUAGAGGUGAAAUUCGUAGAUAUCAGGAGGAACACCGGUGGCGAAGGGCGGCCACCCUGGACAGUUACUGACGCUGAGACGCGAAAGCGUGGGGAGCAAAACAGG
rnacentral:rRNA from 1 species